GGCUGGUCUGAAGGUAGUUAUCUCGAGUGAUUGUUCACAAUCAGUUAUAGAUAGAAUUCUUUGUUCUAAGUCUUUCCUCCCUUCUCAUUGUCUACACUUGACUAAUCUUUA
rnacentral:Y_RNA from 1 species